AGCGAACGCUGGCGGCAGGCUUAACACAUGCAAGUCGAGCGGGCACUUCGGUGUCAGCGGCAGACGGGUGAGUAACACGUGGGAACGUACCCUUCGGUUCGGAAUAACGCUGGGAAACUAGCGCUAAUACCGGAUACGCCCUUUUGGGGAAAGGUUUACUGCCGAAGGAUCGGCCCGCGUCUGAUUAGCUAGUUGGUGGGGUAAUGGCCUACCAAGGCGACGAUCAGUAGCUGGUCUGAGAGGAUGAUCAGCCACACUGGGACUGAGACACGGCCCAGACUCCUACGGGAGGCAGCAGUUGGGAAUCUUGCACAAUGGGGGAAACCCUGAUGCAGCGACGCCGCGUGGAGGAUGAA
rnacentral:rRNA from 1 species